rnacentral:rRNA from 1 species
UGUGUAGGCGGCCAUGUAAGUCGGAUGUGAAAGCCCCGGGCUCAACCCGGGAAGUGCACUCGAUACUGCGUGGCUUGAGUAUCGGAGAGGUUGGUGGAAUUCUCGGUGUAGAGGUGAAAUUCGUAGAUAUCGAGAGGAACACCGGUGGCGAAGGCGGCCAACUGGACGAAUACUGACGCUGAGACACGAAAGCGUGGGGAGCAAACAGGAUUAGAUACCCUGGUAGUCCACGCCGUAAACGAUGGGUGCUAGGUGUCACGGGCUUUGACUCCUGUGGUGCCGUAGCUAACGCAUUAAGCACCCCGCCUGGGAAGUACGGCCGCAAGGCUAAA